GAUGAACGCUGGCGGCGUGCUUAACACAUGCAAGUCGAACGAAGCACUAUGAAGUUUUCGGACGGAAGAGUGACUGAGUGGCGGACGGGUGAGUAACGCGUGGGUAACCUGCCUCAUACAGGGGGAUAACAGUUAGAAAUGACUGCUAAUACCGCAUAAGCGCACAGUACCGCAUGGUAUGGUGUGAAAAACUCCGGUGGUAUGAGAUGGACCCGCGUCUGAUUAGCUAGUUGGUGAGGUAACGGCCCACCAAGGCGACGAUCAGUAGCCGACCUGAGAGGUGACCGGCACAUUGGGACUGGAGACACGGCCCAAAACUCCUACGGGAGCAGCAGUGGGAAUAUUGGCACAAUGGCGAAAGCCUGAUGCAGCGACGCCGCG
rnacentral:rRNA from 1 species